rnacentral:rRNA from 1 species
GACGAACGCUGGCGGCGUGCUUAACACAUGCAAGUCGAACGAAGUGGCGAACGGGUGAGUAACGCGUAAUCAACCUGCCCUUCAGAGGGGGACAAUAGUUGGAAACGACUGCUAAUACCGCAUACUGAAGGAGGGGUUUGCGUCUGAUCAGCUAGGUGGAGGGGUAACGGCCCACCAAGGCGAAGAUCAGUAGCCGGUCUGGGGAGAUGAACGGCCACAAUGGGACUGGGGAACGGCCCAGACUCCUACGGGAGGCAGCAGUGGGGAAUCUUCCGCAAUGGAGGAAAGUCUGGCGGAGCAACGCCGCGUGAGUGGUGACGGCCUUCGGGUUGUAAAACUCUGUUAAUCGGGACGCGGUACCGGAAUAGAAAGCCACGGCUAACUACGUGCCAGCAGCCGCGGUAAUAC